UACAGAGGUCCCAAGCGUUGUUCGGAUUCACUGGGCGUAAAGCGUGCGCAGGCGGCUUUGCAAGACAGAUGUGAAAUCCCCGGGCUCAACCUGGGAACUGCAUUUGUGACUGCAUCGCUGGAGUGCGGCAGAGGGGGAUGGAAUUCCGCGUGUAGCAGUGAAAUGCGUAGAUAUCGUGGAGGAACACCGGUGGCGAAGGCG
rnacentral:rRNA from 1 species